GGUUGUUUCUAAUCCCAUGAACCAUCUACCAUCCAUGCGUUGAGAUGAAGAAGUCCAAAAUUGGGGUGAAAGAUCUUCCUGCCUUCCUGGGAAAGGAGAUCAGAAGUGGCCUGGAGAGAGUGUGUUGUAGGUCCAAGUUGAUUAAGAGGUCUACGGCGACACAAGUUGCGCAUGAGUUGACAUCCAAGGAGUGACCUUUCAGAAGCCAAUCACCUAGAUGCAACCUUGAGAUCUCAGCAGUCCAUGUUAACAUUGGCCGAGAGACUGCAAAGACUCAGGAAGAGGCCACGAAAAAGCAAAGAAGACAUGCCGCAAGAAGUGAUGCAGCAAUCUCCUAGAGAGAAUCAAAAAGUGCAGGAGUGAAGGGAGAGCAAAAGCAGGAUCCGCCAGGAAAACGCAGUGCACCGAUGGCAAAGCACGGAGCUCCGGCAGCAAAGCACGGAUCGGCUGAUAAGCAUCAUGGAGCGCCAAGCAGACUCUAUCCAGGCGCUCGGAGCCAUGCAGGCAGAGCGCUACAGAGCCCGCACACCCGCCACCCCCGCAGCCGUUGUCCCAAAACGCUUUCCCUUGUGUCCCCAUGUCACCUCCAACCCACUUUCCCCAACAUCCGGGUUCUUAUCGCCACCAGCUGCCUCCAACACCUGUAGCUUCACCACUCAGCCCUGAAAACUACGACCCUUACCCACUGCACUC